GCAAGGUGGGAGGGGAGACAACUCCAGCUACAUCUUGGUGUUCUGUUUGUGACGACGUACUAUGUGAACAAUGUACAAGGAUGCACCAACGAUUCCCCUCUUUCCGUCACCAUGACGUAGUUGACCUGUCUGGAGAGACAAAGGUCAAGGUCAAGAGAAAGAUCAUGUGUAAAGUUCACAAGGACGAGAAUAUCAAAUAUCUUUGCAAAGAUUGUAAAACAGCUGUUUGUCAAACAUGUUGCACCAUACAUCACAGGAAAUGUGACAUGGUUGUUGAAAUUGAGUCAGAGAUUCCUGCAAUGAAAACCGAGCUGAAAAGGAAUAAAGAGAAUUUGUUAAAGAAACACGAUGAGAUGAAAACAUAUGUUGGAAAACAAAACUCCAUUGUCAAAGAAGAAUUGGCGCUAUAUAUACAAAUAGAAUCAAGUAUCAAGUCUGCAAGUCUCACAGCAAUACAGAUGAUCAAAGACAAGGAACGGAACCUUGUGUCUGAACUGAAAGAGAUGUCUGACAGACACAUUGGACAACUGAAAGCAGACAUAAAGUCGGGUGAGAUGUCAGUACAGAUGUACCAACAACAGGCUGAGCUGAUGGACCAGGCUCUACAAUCUGAGUGUGACAUGGAUGUGUAUGAGAUGUAUCAGGGAUGUGAGGCCGGUGAUGUGAAGGCUGUCGGAGUCGUAAACGUGAAGGAGAAGGGAAGAAUAGACAGAAUAAAAUUCAGACAGGACACGGACAAGCUGAGUAGAUCACUGGAAGAUCUCCAUCUGGGUGAGAUACACGUCCAGUAUGACGAUGUGCUGGACCUGAAGGCUGCUCCUGUGUUACAGGACACCAUUGAUGUGCUGGACCUGAUGGCUACCCCUGUGUUACAUGACACCAUUAAUGUGACAGUAGCAGGAGAUGCAGGUGGAGGAGACCCCACUGACGUGACGGUGUUAGAGGUGAAUGGUACAGACACAGUGGUAGUUACAGACUACAACAACAACAGUGUCAAGUCCUUCUACACCAGGAACAGUCAGCCAGGUCACAGCAAGCUCAGUCUGGGAGGUGGACCCUAUGGUAUAGCAAGGCUGAAACACAACCAGGUGGCUGUCACUCUGCUGUAUACCAGACAUAUUGUAACAGUUGAAGUGAACCCUGACCUGGUGCUGCUGUCCACCAUCACAACCAACAAACAUUACCGGGGUAUAUCGUCUCUGACACCAUCAACACUAGCAGCAUGUUCCCACUACCCUCCCUGUGUUGAUAUCCUGGAUAUGUCGGGACACAGUCAUCCAUCUGACAGAGUCAGGACAAUUUGUUAGAAACAUACUGACAUCACAGGACGGUGUGUGGUAUCCAAGGGGACUGUGUGUUGGUGGGCGUGGUCGAAUGUACUUGUGGAUAGAAUAUGUAGUGAAG